rnacentral:tRNA from 1 species
UAUAAAAAAAUGUAUGAUGCAUUAAGAAUUUUGAUUUCUUAAGUUUCAGUUUAAAUCUGAAUUUUAUAA